rnacentral:rRNA from 1 species
GGGCCCGCACAAGCGGUGGAGCAUGUGGUUUAAUUCGAUGCAACGCGAAGAACCUUACCAGGACUUGACAUACUACAAAUUCUUUUGAGAAAAAGAAGUGCCUUCGGGAAUGUAGAUACAGGUGGUGCAUGGCUGUCGUCAGCUCGUGUCGUGAGAUGUUGGGUUAAGUCCCGCAACGAGCGCAACCCUUAUUUUUAGUUACCAAUUCGUUGGGUUCUCUAGAAAGACUGCCGGUGACAAACCGGAGGAAGGUGAGGAUGACGUCAAGUCAGCAUGCCCCUUAUGUCCUGGGCUACACACGUGCUACAAUGGUUAAGACAAUAAGUUGCAUAAAUGAAAAUUGAAGCAAAUCUAUAAAAGUUACCUUAGUUCGGAUUGUUUUCUGUAACUCGAAAACAUGAAGUUGGAAUGAAUAGUAA